rnacentral:rRNA from 1 species
GACGAACCGUGCGAACGUUAUUCGGAAUCACUGGGCUUAAAGCGCGUGUAGGCGGGUCUUUAAGUCAGGGGUGAAAUGCCAAGGCUCAACCUUGGAACUGCCUUUGAUACUGGAGAUCUUGAGUCCGGGAGAGGUGAGUGGAAUUGCGAGUGUAGAGGUGAAAUUCGUAGAUAUUCGCAAGAACACCAGUGGCGAAGGCGGCUCACUGGCCCGGAACUGACGCUGAGACGCGAAAGCGUGGGGAGCAAACAGG